GUUUGCGAAGAUUUUAUAAUCCACAUUAAGUAAUGAGAUUGGUCUAUAAUUUUUUACAUCAGAUCUAUCUUGAUCUAUUUUUGGAAUCAGAGUGAUAAAUGCAUCUUUCCAGGUUUCGGGAGCUUUGUCCCCUCUUAGAAUCUUAUUACACACAUCUGCCAACGGUUGAAUUAGCCAAUCUUUCAAUAUUUUUAUUUUAUUUUAUUUUUUAUAAUAUUUUUAUUCAUUUUCCAAUACAAAAUUAUACAAUCAAAACAUCUUAUUUGUCACCAAUUUCUCCUUUUUGACUUCCCUCAACUCGCCUGCCAAUCCUUCAUAUUACUUACUUCUUCCACAUUUCUUAAAUUAAUAUUGCACUAGAAUAUUAUUUAACUUUUUAUCUUGUUUUUUUAAAAAACAAUAUUUCUGACUUUUCUUAUCACAAAACUUCCUUAAAACUUACAAACGUUAUCUCAUCAUCACUUAAUUUUUGCAUAUAUUCUGUAAAUUUUCUCCAGUCUUCUGUGAAUCUCUGGUCGCGUCGAUUCCGGAUCCUUCCUGUUAGUUUAUCGAGUUCCGCAUAGUCCAUCAUUUUCAUUCUCCAUUCUUCUAUCGUAGGUAGCUCUUCUUGUUUCCAUUUCUGGGCCAUCAAUAUUCUUGCUGCUGUCACCGCGUAUAAGAAUAAUUUCCUUUCUUUCUUUUUUAUUUCAUUACCUAUUAUUCCUAGUAAAAACGCUUCUGGUUUCUUAACAAAUGUAUAUUUCAACAUUUUCUUCAAUUCAUUAUAUAUCAUUUCCCAAAAGCUUUUUACUUUUUUACAUUCCCACCACAUAUGAUAAAACGUUGCUUCCUUUUCUUUACAUUUCCAACAUUUAUUACUUAUCUUAUACAUCUUUGCUAAUUUCACUGGUGUUAUAUGCCAUCUAUACAUCAUCUUCAUCACAUUUUCUUUUAUUAUAGUACACGCAGUAAAUCUUAUUCCUUCCUUCCACAGUUUUAACCAAUCAUCUAUUUGUAUAUUAUAACCAAAAUCUUUGGCCCAGUCAAUCAUAACCGAUUUCACCUCUUCAUCCUUUGUAUACCAUUCCAAUAAUAACUUAUACAUUCUUGCUAAGCUUUUAGUUUCAUUGUUCAAUAUUUCUUUCUGAAAUUUUGAUUCUUUAUCAGAAAAACCCCUUUGUAUCAUAUCUUUCUUAAACAUUUCAUUGAUUUCAAAAUAAUGCAGCCAAUCAUUAACAUAUUCUUUAACCUCUUCAUAUGGUCUCAUUUUCCAUUUACUUCCUGCCCUCGUUAUUAACUUCUCAUAAGUCGCCCAUCCCCCCCUCAUAUUGAUCUUCUUUACACUCAUCGCCUCCAGUGGCGAUAGCCAAUAUGGAGUUUUUGGCUCCAAUAGAUUUUUAUACCUCUCCCAAACUUCAAUAAGAGACCUUCGUAUUAUGUGGUUUUCAAAACCUUUAUGCACACGUUUCUUGUCAUACCACAAAUAUGCGUGCCACCCAAAUCUAUUAUCAAAACCUUCCAAAUCUAACAAUUCUGUAUUUUCUAGUUUCAUCCAUUCUUUUAACCAACAGAGGCAUGGUGCUUCAUAAUAUAAUUUCAAGUCUGGCAGGGCGAAGCCUCCUCUUUCUUUUGCAUCUGUCAAUAACUUAAACUUUAUUCUCGGCUUCUUACCCUGCCAGAUAUACCUUGAAAUUACUCUCUGCCAUUCUUUAAAAGUUACUGCGCCUUUAAUUAUUGGAAUUGUUUGAAACAAAAAUAGCAAUUUCGGUAGCACACUCAUCUUUAUUGUUGCAAUUCUUCCCCAAAAUGACAAUUUCAUUCUUCCCCACACCUCCAAGUCUCUUUUGAUCUUAUUCCAAAUUGGGGAAUAAUUAUUCUGAAAUAGGUCAAUACUCUUGGGGGUUAACCAAACUCCUAAAUAUUUAACUUUCUUGACUACUUCCAUCUCUGUUUGUUGCUGCAUUUUAUCAAUUAUUUCUUGAUCCAUAUUUUUGGCAAUUAUUUUGGUUUUUUUCUUAUUCAAUUUAAAUCCCGCCACCUGACCAAACUGAUCUAUUUCUUUCAGCACUUCUGUUACAGUAUUUAUGGGAUCCUCCACAGUAAUAACCAAGUCAUCAGCAAAGGCCUUAACCUUAUAUUCAUUACAGCCCACAGUCACACCUUUUAUUUGUUCAUUACUUCUUAUUGCCCUUAGAAAGACCUCCAGGACCGCAAUGAAUAACAAUGGUGAGAGAGGACACCCUUGUUUUGUACCUUUAGUUAUUGUAAUAUUUUCUGUUGUCACAUUGUUAACUAUUAGUUUUGCUCUUUGUUCUGUAUAUAUUGCCUUAAUACCAUUUAAAAACAAUUGUCCCAUAUCCAUCAUUUCUAAGUUUUUUAUCAAAGGCCUUCUCUGCAUCCACAAAUAUUAACAUUGCUUGUUUAUCAUUCCUGGCAGUCAGAUAUUCCAUUAUAUUAAUUAUAUUUCUUAUGUUACCUUUCAUCUGCCUGCCUGGAAGAAAACCUGCUUGAUCGUUAUGUAUCAAUUCUUUUAAUACCUUUUUCAUCCUAUUUGCUAAUAUACUUGCAAACAAUUUAUAAUCAUCAUUCAAAAGCGAAAUAGGCCUAUAGUUUUUAACUUGAGACAAAUCAGAAUCUUGUUUAGGGAUAAAAGUAAUAUAAGCUUCCUUCCAUGUUUCUAGUAUUUCUUUUUUUGUUAAAAUAUUAUUCAUCACUUCUUUCAACGGUACGAGUAGAAUGUCUUUCAUUUCUUUAUAAAACCUCGCACUAAAUCCAUCCGGCCCUGGCAUCUUUCCACUUUUCAAUUCUUUAAUUGCACAGUUAAUUUCUUCUAUCUUGAUUGUCUUGUUCAGUUUAUUCUUUUUCUCCAUCGGAUUUUUCUGCACCUCUUUUUCCUUUAAAAAAUCUUCUAUUUUUUAAUAUUACCUUUUUCUUUUCUUUUAUAUAAAUGUCUCUAGAAAUCCACAAAUCCUUUUCUAAUUCCUUUCGGAUUAUCUAUCUCUUGAUCUUCAACUAUAAUUUUUUGAAUUGUGUUUUGCUCUUUCCUUUUUUUAAUCUGCCAAGCCAGAAAUUUUCCUGAUUUAUUUGCAAACUCAAAAUUCCUCUGUCUCAUCCUUUUGAUGUUCCAUUCUACUUCUUUGUUUAUUAUCAUCGCAAAUUGUGAUUGUAGAGUUUUAAUAUUCAAUUUCAAUUUCUUGUCCUCGGGUCUGGUAAUUAACUUCUUCUCAUUCUCCAUUAUUUGUUUUAAGAUUUCUUUUCCCCCCUUUUCUCUAAAUUUAUUUUUGAUUGUAUUUUGUUGAAUAAAGAAACCUCUCAUCACUGCUUUACCAGCGUCCCAGACUGUACUCAUUUUUGUUCCUUGAUUUAUAUUAUUUAUGAAGUAGUCCUUCAAACACUUUUGCAUGGUUUCCACUAUUUUCUGAUCAUCAAAUAUAUUUUCAUUUAUUCUCCACCGGAAAGAUUUUUCCUCAAAUCCUCUUACUAUGCAUUUUAUCGCAUUAUGAUCCGAAAGUACUUUAGGUUGGAUUUCAAUCUUUGAUAUUAUUGGUGUUAAUUCAUUAGAUAUCCAUAUCUGAUCAAUUCUGGACAUUGACUGAUUUGCCUCAGAAUGGAAGGUGAAUUGUUUUUCUAAUGGGUGUCUCAGUCUCCAAAUAUCAAUUAAAUUGCAGUUUUCUACCAUUGAAAAGAAUGUUUUUGGUAGCUUUCCUUCCUUUGUUUUCCCUGUUGCUCUUAAUCUAUCCAUUUCCAUUGACACUACUGCAUUCAUAUCACCCAUUAUUAUAAUCUUUUGAUCCAAAUAUUCAAAUAGUCUUUCCUCCAAAUCUUUGAAAAUGUCCAUUUUAUUAUCAUUAGGUGCAUACACUCCGACAAUUAUUAAUUUUUCGCCUUGCCAUUUUACUUGUACUGCAACAAUUCUGCCCUCUUCGUCCUUGAAAAUCUAUUGAGCCUCCAAUUUAUUUUUUAUGUAUAAUACCACCCCUCUCUUUUUGCUUUUAUCAGAUGAAAUAAAUUCAUUUCCUAAUUUUUUAUUAAUUAAAAUUUUUCUAUGUUUUCUCGUCACAUGUGUCUCCUGUAAACAAAUAAUGUCUAAAUUCUUUUUUUUAAAGUAUUGUUGAAUUUUAUUUCGUUUUUUUCCUAUCGUUCAUCCCAUUAACAUUCCAAGUCCAUAGUUUCAACGCCAUGAUGAUUCCCAAUUAAUUUUAUUAAUAAAUUUUUAAUUCUGUUUCUCCUCUUCCUCUUCUUUUUCCUCCUCUUCCUCCCUAUCCUCUUCAGAUUCUUGAGAGCCUCCUCCUUCCGCCCCUGCUCCCAUCGCUGCCACUUCUUCUUCUUCUCUUCCUAACUCUCUGUAUCUUCUCAGGAACUUGUCCAUUUCGUCUGGUCUUGUAAGCCUAUGUCUUUUCCCUUUAUAAGAAAAUGAAAGCCCCUCUGGAAAUUCCCACUUAAAUUCAAUUUUGUUUUUCCUCAAUAUUUGCACCAGCUGUUUAUAUUGGUCGCGUUUUUUUAAUAAACAAAGUGGGACGUCUUUAAAAAUAAUUAUAUAAUUUCCAUCAAUAUUCAAUCUUUUUUCUCUAUUCUUUUGCAAAAUUAAAUUCCUUAUUUCUCUAUGCUUAAAAAUAAUCAGACAAUCUCCGGGAAAUUUCUUUGCUUUAGUUGUCCUGACCUUAAUUCUGAAAGCGUUUUGUAUUGUCUUUGCGACGUCCUCCUCUUGCAUCUCUAACCAUUGGGCAAUCUCUGUACUCAAUUUCUCCUUUAUUCUUUCUCCUUGAACCUCUGGCACCGAUCUAAAUCUCAGAUUAUUUUCUCUCUGCCUCAGUUCAUUCAUGGCAAUUGCGUCCCACAGUUCCUCUUGUGCUCUAUUCACCUCUGACACCUCUGCUUUGAUUUUCUCUUCUUUUUUAAUUUCCCUAACAUCUAAUUUGGUCUUUUUCAUCCCUUCUUCCAAAUUUUGUGUCCUUUUUGUCAUCUCUACAUUUGUCCUUUUAUCUCAUUAACCGUUUCAUCAGUUUUAUUAACAGUCACAUCUAUUUUUUUAUCCAUUUGUUCCAAUUUUGUUUCAAUAUUUUUCUCACUUUUUUUUAUUUCUAACUUAAUAUCUGAUUUAAGCUCUGUAAACAUCUUUAUUAAGUCUCCUUUAAUUUCAGAUUCUUGCCUAGAACUCUUCCUUUCUGCAGGUGUCCCUCCUUCACCUUUCUUCUGUAUGUGAGACAUUCUGAUUAAAUAUCUUCUGCCACCUAUGUAACUGUUCCAAUUUAGCUCCAAUAAAAGUAUCCACCAGAGGGAGCUAACUAAAAACAAAAACCCAAGGCCACAAGAUCCGGAAUUUAGAGCAAUUAAAAAUUCAGAGGGUUACUUCACUUUCUUCUUGCCACUUGGAUGGCCACAUCCAAUAUUUUUAAUUAUAUUCCACAAAACCACUAACACACAAAAAAAGUCCCUCUCUCUUUAAAAAGUUUUAAAAUAAAGGCAAAACCAAAAUAAAAAUUCCCAAACCAAGUCCCUCAAAAGAAGCAAAGAGAAACAAAAAGUCUAUCC
rnacentral:lncRNA from 1 species